CCUACGGGGGGCUGCAGUGGGGAAUAUUGCACAAUGGGCGCAAGCCUGAUGCAGCCAUGCCGCGUGUGUGAAGAAGGCCUUCGGGUUGUAAAGCACUUUCAGCGGGGAGGAAGGCGGUGAGGUUAAUAACCUCAUCGAUUGACGUUACCCGCAGAAGAAGCACCGGCUAACUCCGUGCCAGCAGCCGCGGUAAUACGGAGGGUGCAAGCGUUAAUCGGAAUUACUGGGCGUAAAGCGCACGCAGGCGGUCUGUCAAGUCGGAUGUGAAAUCCCCGGGCUCAACCUGGGAACUGCAUUCGAAACUGGCAGGCUAGAGUCUUGUAGAGGGGGGUAGAAUUCCAGGUGUAGCGGUGAAAUGCGUAGAGAUCCGGAGGAAUACCGGUGGCGAAGGCGGCCCCCUGGACAAAGACUGACGCUCAGGUGCGAAAGCGUGGGGAGCAAACAGGAUUAGAUACCCCUGUAGUC
rnacentral:rRNA from 1 species